UUUCCGUAGGUGAACCUGCGGAAGGAUCAUUAACACUACGAAAACUGUCGGGCCGCGUCCCUUUCCCUUCAACGGGAGAAGGCACGGUUGGACUUUUUUCUUAUCUACCCCUGGGUGCCAGUUGCCUCAGUGUCACUUUAUUGUCUCACUUUUUCUUUUUUAACUAUUAUACCCUAUUCAACCAAUUGACUGAAAUUUAAGAAAGCACAAAAUAUCUGUACAACUCUUAGCAACGGAUAUCUUGGCUCUC
rnacentral:misc_RNA from 1 species